rnacentral:lncRNA from 1 species
CUCUUCUUCUUCUCCUUUUUUUUUUCUUUCUGUAAAAAUUGUUCCGGUGGCUUUCUGGCAAUGAUGAAGUAGAUGCUAGUCUUAACCCCACCCGCAAACGCAAUACACUUCCAAUAAUUCUCUUUUCAUUGUCUUUUAAUUACGAUGCUCUAACCCAGAAAACGGUUCAAGCCCUUUCAUCUUCCCCACCUUUUGUUCUCUAUAUUGCUUUCAAUUCUGACCUGCCCGCAUCUUUCACGGCUGGAUUGAACGGAAAAAGAACAUCAGUACUGUGUAUUAGUAUGUCUCUCUUCCCCCACUCCCAAACAAUUUCCUCAAUCGCCAAAUUCUCUCUCAUCUUGUGGUUGGUACACCAGUCAUAACAAACAUCGACGACAUACCACACGAUGGGUUCAUCACAGGCUACCUUCAAACAAAACUAAUUUUGAUGGGGACAGCACAUAGCUUACAGUGAGAAGAGUUCUUUUUGGUUCAAUUUUGUGAUAUUGCAACAAAGGCUUCAGUAUUUGUACAUCACAAUGAGACCGAACUUGCAAUGCAAGUAAGAGAGAUUGAAAGAGAUAGGUACUUAUGGACGUCUUCUGUUUUGGUUCAAUACUUCAAGUCUUUUUUCUGCUUUUUUUUUUUUCCCAUGUGAUAACAGAGAAACAGAAGCUUCAUGCUCUGCUGUUAGUCAAAAUUUAAGGCUUUCAAAGGUUCUCUUUUCCUCCCUUAAAAUUUAAGUCUUUUAAAGUUUCUAUUUUUCUCCUUCUCUUUUGUGGUAAAUCAAGUUUGUUCAUACUUAUGGAACCCAUUUGAAAAUUUCAGAAGAAUAUUUUUAAACUCUGAUAUUUUUUCUGAAAUUUCGAAGAAGACAAGAAGGUAUGAGGAGGAAAGGUGAGAGAGAGAGAGAGAGAGAGAGAGAGAGAGAGAGAGAUAAAGAAGAAGACGGCUAAGAGGGAAAGGAGAGAGAAAAGCGGGUGGUGUAGAGGAAAGAUGAACCUGUGUAAAUGUUUUCACAAGUAAAUUUUAUUUUGAAAUAAAAUGAUCUCAUAUGCAUUUCUAACCA